UACAGGGGGUGCAAACGUUGCUCGGAAUUAUUGGGCGUAAAGGGCGCGUAGGCGGCCUUCUAAGUCGAACGUGAAAUCCCCGGGCUCAACCCGGGAACUGCGUCCGAUACUGGAAGGCUUGAAUCCGGGAGAGGGAUGCGGAAUUCCAGGUGUAGCGGUGAAAUUCGUAGAUAUCGGGAGGAACACCGGUGGCGAAGGCGGCGACCUGGGUCGACACUGACGCUGAGGCGCGAAAGCGUGGGGAGCAAACAGG
rnacentral:rRNA from 1 species